GUUUGAUCAUGGCUCAGAGUUAACGUUGGCGGCGUGCCUAACACAUGCAAGUCGAACGCGCCGUAGCAAUACGGUGAGUGGCGAACGGGUGAGUAACACGUGGGUAAUCUUCCUUCAAGUGGGGAAUAAGCUCUCGAAAGGGAGUCUAAUACCGCAUGACGUUCCGGGACUCAAGUCCCGUAAUUAAAGCCGCAAGGCGCUUGAAGAUGAGCCUGCGUCCUAUUAGCUAGUUGGUAGGGUAAUGGCCUACCAAGGCUGAGAUGGGUAGCCGGCCUGAGAGGGUGAACGGCCACACUGGAACUGAGACACGGUCCAGACUCCUACGGGAGGCAGCAGUGAGGAAUUUUGCGCAAUGGGGGAAACCCUGACGCAGCGACGCCGCGUGGAGGACGAAGGCCUUCGGGUCGUAAACUCCUGUCAGAGGUGAAGAAUACCCGCAAGGGUUUGACGGUAACCUCAGAGGAAGCCCCGGCUAACUACGUGCCAGCAGCCGCGGUAAUACGUAGGGGGCAAACGUUACUCGGAAUUACUGGGCGUAAAGGGUGCGUAGGCGGCUGGGAAAGUCAAGGAUGAAAUCCCGUGGCUUAACUGCGGAACUGUCCUUGAAACUUCCCAGCUUGAGGAUAAUCGAAGAGAACGGAAUUCCCGGUGGAGCGGUGAAAUGCGUAGAUAUCGGGAGGAACACCUGAGGCGAAAGCGGUUCUCUAGACUACUCCUGACGCUGAGGCACGAAAGCUAGGGGAGCAAACGGGAUUAGAUACCCCGGUAGUCCUAGCCAUCAACGAUGGAUACUGGAUAUUCCUGCACUCAUGUGGGAGUGUCGAAGCUAACGCGUUAAGUAUCCCGCCUGGGGAGUACGGUCGCAAGAUUGAAACUCAAA
rnacentral:rRNA from 1 species